rnacentral:rRNA from 1 species
GAGACCCGCGCCUUUAUUUGCCAGCAAGAAGUCACGACUUCGUUGGGAACAAUAAAGGGACCGCCGUCGAUAAGACGGAGGAAGGAGCGGGCGAAGGCAGGUCAGUAUGCCCCGAAACCCCUGGGCUACACGCGGGCUGCAAUGGUAUGAACAAUGGGCUGUGACUCCGAAAGGAGAAACCAAUCCCGAAAUCGUAUCUCAGUUGGGAUUGUCGGCUGUAACUCGCCGACAUGAACGUGGAAUCCCUAGUAAUCGUGUGUCAUCAUCGCACGGUGAAUAC